rnacentral:rRNA from 1 species
AGUGAACGCUGGCGGCGUGCCUAACACAUGCAAGUCGAACGCGAAAGUCCUUCGGGAUGAGUAAAGUGGCGCACGGGUGAGUAAUGCAUGAGAACAUGCCCUUAGAUGGGGAAUAACGUUUGGAAACGAACGCUAAUACCGCAUAAUCUCGAGAGAGUAAAGGUGGCGCCGCAAGGGCUACCGUCUAAGGAUUGGCUCAUGUCCCAUUAGCUAGUUGGCGGGGUAAUGGCCCACCAAGGCAACGAUGGGUAUGUGGUCUGAGAGGAUGAUCACCCACACUGGAACUGAGACACGGUCCAGACUCCUACGGGAGGCAGCAGUAGGGAAUAUUGCACAAUGGGGGAGACCCUGAUGCAGCAACGCCGCGUGAGUGAAGAAGGCCCUUGGGUCGUAAAGCUCUUUAGCGAGGGAAGAGGGUAGAUACGGUGAAUAAUCGUGUUUGCUGACGGUACCUCGAGAAUAAGCACCGGCUAAUUUCGUGCCAGCAGCCGCCGUAA